UUCCAACUAGCUCAAAAAAGUGGAAAGAGGCUUCAGCUGAGAAAGAACGACUCAUAUGGACAUCUAUAAAGAGAAAAAAAAGUGAUGCACCUGACUCUAUAACAAGAGUUGAUGUAUGGAUCGAAGGUCACAUGAGGAAGGGUGGGAAACCUUUGAACGAUGUGACAGAAGAAGCAGUGAAACAAAUGAAAGAGUACACCAAAACCCAACC